GGCAGGAAGGCGCAGGGUGCGCGUCGGCUUUUGAUGUGUGGGAAUAAUAUCUGCAAGAAAAUGAACCGAAGGUCCCCGUUCGACUCGGGGUCCUGCCA